rnacentral:tRNA from 1 species
AUUUAUUUAAUAUAUAUAUAAGUAUAUUUGACUUCCAAUCAAAAAGUUCAUCUAAAAUGAAAUAAAUA